ACAAAUUGCGCUCAACUUUUCCUUCAAAAUUUUUCACCAAAAAACUUUCCGCUUAAAACUUUCACUUCUUUCCACUGCCUUCCGUCUUCUAAACUUAGGGUUUAGAUCAGUUUUCUUUCAUUCUCCAUAGAUACCAAAAGCUUGAACUCGAAACGCGAUAUUCUGGGGCGGAUGUGAUUAAUUCGCGCAAAUGUUAAUCGGGUUUUCAUCCUGGAUUCUUAACCCGAUUUCACGGAACUCAAUUACAGCUGUUUCAUCACAAGUUCAAGGUAUUCAGAAAACACGAAUUACCACCCUCUGUUGAUUUCACGAAGCAGGACCUGAUGAAAGAAAAACUAGCUGAACUUCCUGGUGGAUUUGAACAGUCUAAAGGACAAAUUGUCAAAUCUUAUAGGAUGAUGACACUUCAACACGGGGUUCAUGAAAUGCAAAGCUUAGGUAGCAACGCACAAGGACGAUAACUCUUUAUUUGGCAAACGGUGAAGUCGGACUUAUUUGGGGAAGCACAUGACGUUAUUGAGUUAUAUUAUAUUAGUUGUUUCGUUACUGCAUUGCAGUAGUUAAUUAGUUAUUUAUCUUGUCACUGCAGAUUAUUAGAUAACAUUUUGUUAAGUUUUUAAGAGUAUUAGACAAUUAUAUAUCACCUAUGUAAUGACUUAUGACUUACUCUGUAUGAGUUAUUUAUUUAUAAUAUUAUUUUUAUCUUAUAAUUA